GAGGAAGGAGACGCUAUGGGUUAGCAUUCCUGUUCUUUUCCUGAAACUGGACUUCCAAUCAGUGUCAGAAACUCUACCACUGCACAAAGGCAGCAGGAGACACUGAGACACCCUGGCCAGACUUGAGCUUUGAAGACCUAAAAGUCCACCUCCACCUUGACCUGAGUCAGGCCACACAUACUACACAACAAGACCGCACUUCUAAAGGAGAGAAAGAGAGAGAGA